CAAGUCUUUCUCAUGUAUUAAUUUAUCUCUGCCUCGAACGUCAGGUAUUUUAAAGCCUGCUGAGUGAGGAUGAAGAAGUGGAGCUCUUGUAGAAACAACUGCUGCACAAACACAAAUACCACAGUCUGUUAACUCAAACACAUUUUAUUGGCACGAAUGAAGUUACAUCAUAGCCAAAUUUAAAUGACAUAUUACUGACUGAUGACAUUUUACACACUGAAUCUGAAUGAAUCAAUUUGCCGCAUAGAAUCACUCCAUCACGCACGUGCACGAGCGUGCGUCACUUAAGGCCAUGGAAACAGAAUGUUGACCAGAGAUACAAACGCUGCGGGAAUCAUUCAUUUCUCAUUCGCAAACUAAACUGGAACCUGAUCGACCUCAUCAGAAGCACGCCUUUUGGAUUAUUCACGAUCAACUGAAGACUUUUUGCAUACAAAGCUUUUUGAUUACUGACCUCGACAUCUAGUGCAGAGAGUGGACCUCCUUUACCUGCUGCAGAAGUGGUUUCUGCUGGAGCUCCUGUGACGAGGCAGCUGCUGUCCGGAGUCUGUGUGUGUGUGUGUGUGUGUACGCUAACAAACAGUGUGUUGUCCUUCUGUCCACAGUGGAAGUCACUGUCAGCAGAGGAGCAAGCCGUUUACUACCAACAGGCCCAAAGAGAAAAAGAGCUCCACGCUCAGCAACACCCCGGCUGGUCCGUCAGCCAGGACUAUGGCAAGAAGAGGAAGGGGAAGAGCAGAAGAGCUCCUAAAGCAUCUAAGAGGCCGUGUGUGUCACCGGUGGCAUCCACCUCACGGGCAGCCAUGCUGGAGGACUCCACCUCACGGGCAGCCAUGCUGGAG